rnacentral:rRNA from 1 species
CCUACGGGUGACAGCAGUGGGGAAUAUUGCACAAUGGGGGAAACCCUGAUGCAGCGACGCCGCGUGAGUGAAGAAGUAUCUCGGUAUGUAAAGCUCUAUCAGCAGGGAAGAAAAUGACGGUACCUGAUUCAGAAGCCCCGGCUAACUACGUGCCAGCACCCGCGGUAAUACGGAGGGGGCAAGCGUUAUCCGGAUUUACUGGGUGUAAAGGGAGCGUAGACGGCAGCACAAGUCUGGAGUGAAAUGCCGGGGCUUAACCCCGGAACUGCUUUGGAAACUGUGCAGCUAGAGUGCAGGAGAGGUAAGUGGAAUGCGUAGUGUAGCGGUGAAAUGCGUAGAUAUUAGGAGGAACACCAGUGGCGAAGGCGGCUUACUGGACUGUAACUGACGUUGAGGCACGAAAGCGUGGGGAGCGAACAGGAUUAGAUACCCCAGUAGUC